rnacentral:rRNA from 1 species
UACGGAGGGUGCAAGCGUUAUCCGGAAUCAUUGGGUUUAAAGGGUCCGCAGGCGGUCUUAUAAGUCAGUGGUGAAAGCCUACAGCUCAACUGUAGAACUGCCAUUGAUACUGUAAGACUUGAAUUCGAUCGAAGUGGGCGGAAUAUGACAUGUAGCGGUGAAAUGCUUAGAUAUGUCAUAGAACACCGAUAGCGAAGGCAGCUCACUAGGUCUGGAUUGACGCUCAGGGACGAAAAGCGUGGGGAGCAAACAGG